GGGCACUUGGCGCAGUGGUAGCGCGCCCGCUUUGCAUGCGGAAGGCCGUGGGUUCAAUCCCCACAGUGUCCA
rnacentral:tRNA from 1 species